rnacentral:rRNA from 1 species
GUAAGCAAAGUGAGGGCUAACCUAAAGCAAGGUUAGAUAACCCACUAACGCUCAUAAUGCCAGCCAAAGUUUAGUUCAUUUAGACAGCAGCAGGACGUUUGCCAUAGAAGAGCAAUCCCUAAGUAGUGUGCCAAUCUCACCUACUCGAUGAACUAGUCUUAAAGUGAUGCUGCUAAUCAGCCGUUAGAAGCCUCGCAACUCUAGACAAGGAUGAGUAGGAGGGACUGAGAGA